rnacentral:rRNA from 1 species
AGCUCCAAUAGCGUAUAUUAAAGUUGCUGCAGUUAAAAAGCUCGUAGUUGCAUUUCCGAGGCAAGGGAUUAGUCCGACCUUUGGUGGGUAUUUAAUCCUCUUGCCUCGUCCUUGAGUGGUGCUUCUUGGUAUUAAGUUAUCGAGGAGCUAGCCGCUCAUCGUUUACUGUGAGAAAAUUAGAGUGUUCAAAGCAGGCUUAUGCCGUUGAAUAUAUUAGCAUGGAAUAAUAAGAUAGGACCUCGGUACUAUUUUGUGGGUUUGAGAACCAAGGUAAUGAUGAAUAGGGACAGUUGGGGGUAUUCGUAUUCAGUUGUCAGAGGUGAAAUUCUUAGAUUUACGGAAGACGAACUACUGCGAAAGCAUUUACCAAGGAUGUUUUCA